GUGGGGAAUUUUGGACAAUGGGCGCAAGCCUGAUCCAGCAAUGCCGCGUGCAGGAAGAAGGCCUUCGGGUUGUAAACUGCUUUUGUACGGAACGAAACGGCUCUGGUUAAUACCCGGGGCUAAUGACGGUACCGUAAGAAUAAGCACCGGCUAACUACGUGCCAGCAGCCGCGGUAAUACGUAGGGUGCAAGCGUUAAUCGGAAUUACUGGGCGUAAAGCGUGCGCAGGCGGUUUUGUAAGACAGGCGUGAAAUCCCCGGGCUCAACCUGGGAAUGGCGCUUGUGACUGCAAGGCUGGAGUGCGGCAGAGGGGGAUGGAAUUCCGCGUGUAGCAGUGAAAUGCGUAGAUAUGCGGAGGAACACCGAUGGCGAAGGCAAUCCCCUGGGCCUGCACUGACGCUCAUGCACGAAAGCGUGGGGAGCAAACAGGAUUAGAAACCCGAGUAGUCC
rnacentral:rRNA from 1 species